rnacentral:rRNA from 1 species
CACGUAGGCACCAAGCGUUGUCCGGAUUUAUUGGGCGUAAAGAGCUCGUAGGCGGUUCAGUAAGUCAGGUGUGAAAUCUUUGGGCUUAACCCAAAGCGUGCACUUGAUACUGCUGUGACUUGAGUUCGGUAGGGGAGCGUGGAAUUCCUGGUGUAGCGGUGAAAUGCGCAGAUAUCAGGAGGAACACCAAUUGCGAAGGCAGCUCGCUGGAACGUUACUGACGCUGAGACGCGAAAGCGUGGGGAGCAAACAGG